AGUGAACGCUGGCGGUAGGCCUAACACAUGCAAGUCGAACGGCAGCACGGUAAGUGGUUGCUGUUGCGGGUGGGGGGAGGCGGGCGGAUGAGAUAUGCAUCGGAAUCUAAUUUUUCGUGGGGGCGGACGAAGGGGGACUUACACUACUACCGAAUACCGCAUAAGAGUGGAAGCCGGGCAGCUUCGGACCUUGCGGGAUUGACGGUGCCGAUGGCGGAUUAGCUAGUUGGCGGGGUAAAGGCCCACCAAGGCGACGAUCCGUAGCUGGUCUGAGAGGACGACCAGCCACACUGGAACUGAGACACGGUCCAGACUCCUACGGGAGGCAGCAGUGGGGAAUAUUGGACAAUGGGCGAAAGCCUGAUCCAGCCAUACCGCGUGUGUGAAGAAGGCCUUCGGGUUGUAAAGCCCUUUUGUUGGGAAAGAAAACCUUCAGGCUAAUACCCCGCUGUUCUGACGGUACCCAAAGAAUAAGCACCGGCUAACUUCGUG
rnacentral:rRNA from 1 species